rfam:Ipomoea nil DNA, scaffold: scaffold2791, cultivar: Tokyo-kokei standard.
GAUGGUUUGGCUGAGUGGUCUAAGGCGCCAGAUUUUGGCUCUGGUCUGAAAGGGCGUGGGUUCAAAUCCCACAGCCGUCA